rnacentral:rRNA from 1 species
GACGUAGGAUGCAAGCGUUAUCCGGAAUUAUUGGGCGUAAAGCGUCCGCAGGUGGACAUACAAGUCUGCUGUCAAAGUGCAGAGCUUAACUCUGUAAAGGCGGUGGAAACUGUAGGUCUUGAGUAUGGUAGGGGUAGAGGGAAUUUCCAGUGGAGCGGUGAAAUGCGUAGAUAUUGGAAAGACCACCGAUGGCGAAGGCACUCUACUGGGCCAUUACUGACACUGAGAGACGAAAGCUAGGGGAGCAAAUGGG